rnacentral:rRNA from 1 species
UACAGAGGGUGCAAGCGUUAAUCGGAAUUACUGGGCGUAAAGCGUGCGUAGUCGGUUAUCUAAGUCGGGUGUGAAAUCCCCGGGCUCAACCUGGGAAUUGCAUUCGAUACUGGAUAGCUAGAGUUCGGCAGAGGGAAGCGGAAUUUCGGGUGUAGCGGUGAAAGUGCGUAGAUAUCCGAAGGAACAUCAGUGGCGAAAGCGGCUCACUGGAUCGGUACUGACGCUGAGGUGCGAAAGCGUGGGGAGCGAACAGG